GAUGAAGAACGCAGCGAAAUGCGAUAAGUAAUGUGAAUUGCAGAAUUCAGUGAAUCAUCGAAUCUUUGAACGCACAUUGCGCCCGCCAGUAUUCUGGCGGGCAUGCCUGUUCGAGCGCCAUUUCAACCAUCAAGCCCCCCGGCUUGUGUUGGGGACCUGCGGCUGCCGCAGGCCCUGAAAAGCAGUGGCGGGCUCGCUGUCACACCGAGCGUAGUAGAUCUCAUCUCGCUCAGGGCGUGCUGCGGGUUCCGGCCGUUAAACCACCUUCAUAACCCAAGGUUGACCUCGGAUCAGGUAGGAAGACCCGCUGAACUUAAGCAUAUCAAUAAGCGGAGGA
rnacentral:misc_RNA from 1 species